rnacentral:rRNA from 1 species
AAUUUUAAGGUCAAGCUACAAAGGGCGCAUGGUGAAUGCCUUGGCACUAGGAGCCGAAGAAGGACGCGAUAAGCUGCGAUAAGCCUUGGGUAGCCGCAAAUAGGCUG